GAUGAACGCUGGCGGCGUGCCUAAUACAUGCAAGUCGGGCGAACGGACGAGAAGCUUGCUUCUCUGAUGUUAGCGGCGGACGGGUGAGUAACACGUGGAUAACCUUCCUAUAAGACUGGGAUAACUUCGGGAAACCGGAGCUAAUACCGGAUAAUAUUUUGAACCGCAUGGUUCAAAAGUGAAAGACGGUCUUGCUGUCACUUAUAGAUGGAUCCGCGCUGCAUUAGCUAGUUGGUAAGGUAACGGCUUACCAAGGCAACGAUGCAUAGCCGACCUGAGAGGGUGAUCGGCCACACUGGAACUGAGACGCGGUCCAGACUCCUACGGGAGGCAGCAGUAGGGAAUCUUCCGCAAUGGGCGAAAGCCUGACGGAGCAACGCCGCGUGAGUGAUGAAGGUCUUCGGAUCGUAAAACUCUGUUAUUAGGGAAGAACAUAUGUGUAAGUAACUGUGCACAUCUUGACGGUACCUAAUCAGAAAGCCACGGCUAACUACGUG
rnacentral:rRNA from 1 species